GCGGCGUUGUGUGUGGAGGUCUUUCACGCGGGCAGUCCGCAGUGCGUCUUGCUGUGAAAACUCAAGCCAGUGAAACGGUGUGCUAGUGUCGGGAAACAAAAGUAGAAAUUUUACCGUUAUUUAACUUUUGUGCUCUAAAGAAGUGAUUAUUCGACUUGCAGGGUUUAAAAAGUGUUUUCAGCACGUGAUGGAUUACCGUGAAGCAGUGUAGACGCCGGCAAGCGGUCGUGCAACUCUUCGAGGGAUACCUUCUGUCAGUACAGUUGGAUGGCUGUGAAACGUGUGAAGCCACUCCUCGCUCCUUAUAAACGCCAAUCUCCAGUGUAAUCAUUACGUCUCUCUGGCUUAUUUGCUGCAGUGCGCGGUCCAUUGCAGUCGGCAGAACUGAACAUCUCCCGCUCUAUGCGAUGCGGCAUGGAGACGUCGCCGGAGCUGGAGGCGGCCGCGUGCCGCCCGCGGCGAGGCCAGCCGCCCCCGC